rnacentral:pre_miRNA from 1 species
ACAGCAACAUGAGCACUUACGUGAAUUCUGAAAACAUCAAGUGCUAAUUGUUGUUGUA